rnacentral:rRNA from 1 species
AGCGAACGCUGGCGGUAGGCCUAACACAUGCAAGUCGAACGGCAGCACAGUAAGAGCUUGCUCUUACGGGUGGCGAGUGGCGGACGUGUGAGGAAUACAUCGGAAUCUACUUUUUCGUGGGGGAUAACGUAGGGAAACUUACGCUAAUACCGCAUCCGACCUACGGGUGAAAGCAGGGGAUCUUCGCACCUUGCGCGAUUGAAUGAGCCGAUGUCGGAUUAGCUAGUUGGCGGGGUAAAGGCCCACCAAGGCGACGAUCCGUAGCUGGUCUGAGAGGAUGGUCAGCCACACUGGAGCGGAGACACGGACCAGAGUCCUACGGGAGGCAGCAGAGGGGAAUAUUAGACAAUGGGCGGGAGCCUGAUCCAGCCAGACCGCGUGUGUGAAGAAAGCGUUCGGGUUGUAAAGCCCUUUUGUGGGGAGAGAAAAGCAGCAGGUUAAUACCCCGCUGUUCUGACGGUACCCAGAGAAUAAGCACCGGCUAACUUCGUG